GAUGAACGCUGGCGGCGUGCCUAAUACAUGCAAGUCGAACGAAACUUCUUUAUCACCGAGUGCUUGCACUCACCGAUAAAGAGUUGGGUGGCGAACGGGUGAGUAACACGUGGGCAACCUGCCCAAAAGAGGGGGAUAACACUUGGAAACAGGUGCUAAUACCGCAUAACCAUAGUUACCGCAUGGUAACUAUGUAAAAGGUGGCUAUACUACCGCUUUUGGAUGGGCCCGCGGCGCAUUAGCUAGUUGGUAGGGUAAAGGCUUACCAAGGCAAUGAUGCGUAGCCGAAUUGAGAGGUUGAUCGGCCACAUUGGGACUGAGACACGGCCCAAACUCCUACGGGAGGCAGCAGUAGGGAAUCUUCCACAAUGGGCGAAAGCCUGAUGGAGCAACGCCGCGUGGGUGAAGAAGGUCUUCGGAUCGUAAAACCCUGUUGUUAGAGAAGAAAGUGCGUGAGAGUAACUGUUCACGUUUCGACGGUAUCUAACCAGAAAGCCACGGCUAACUACGUG
rnacentral:rRNA from 1 species